CCUUGGUGCGCCUCUGUGAGGUGGUGUGCCUUGCUUGUCCCGGGGCACCUUGCGCCUAGGGCGCACCUGAGGCACGCCUUUGAUAACAGUGCCUAGAACAGAAUUGGGUCUGGACGGUUGAUCUGGAUGUGCCAUGUCUGACAUGCUUUCAUGACAUGAGUGCUUCUACAGUUUUCAUUUUUCAAUUUCAUCUAUCUGAGAGUGAGAACAGUUGAGUUUGUGUAUUUUGAUUCUUAUCCAUAUAUUGCAGAAACUGGAGAGUAGCGGGAUUUAGUGUUUAACACUUGUAUAUAUGGAUGAUGAAAAUGAUGAAGAAAGUGGCCUGUUUUACUCUCUAACUUGAUGCUCCAAAUUUGCUUGUGCGUAAAUAUGUUUGCUGUUGCUGCCUAUGGAUGAGGGUUGAUUGUUUCGAUAAACUUAGAUGAUGGAUGAUGGAUUGCACAUUGAAAUCAAGUAAGGGCCAGGCUUCAGGAUUGCGACUUGACUACCAAGGAUGCAUAUAAAUAUUUUGUACACAGAGCUCAAGAAAUAAAAAUUUCAAAAGGUUGGACCCGUGUCAACUGAGCGCUCAUGGAGUAGGAGAGAGGCCAUAUCUUCCAGAAAUAUUACCUUAACAGCUUUACCUAUCUUGCAGUACUUCAGGUGCCUACUGAAUAGGCGUGGAGUUGAAGCUGCUCCUGUCGCAAAUUUUUAUGCCCGACAAUCUCCGAUAGGUCUCGGGUUAUGCUAUGAGCAAUAAUUCCUCGUGUCAUAUUCAUGCAUCUGAAGCUGACUCUUUGUAUUUUGUAUGUAAUAAAUGCAAGCACUCCAAAAAAACUUCAUACUUUUCAGGUUUCAAUUGUUCUUUUACUAGAAAAUUGAUUGAUAUUAAUUUGGUGUCAUAUAUCAAUGGUAGAGUAUUUGGGGUUGCAAGAAUAAAGUUACUCAAUUUGCAACCUGGAGGUCACGGAUUCGAGUCAUGAAAAUAGCCUCCUUGCAAAAUAGAGGUAAGGCUUUGUACAUCAAGCCUUCUUAGAGCCCACUAUUGUGUGAUAUUUCAUGCAUUGGAUCUCCCUUUUUA